rnacentral:tRNA from 1 species
GGGCGAUUAGCUCAGUUGGCUAGAGCACCUCGUUUACACCGAGGGGGUCAUAAGUUCGAGUCUUAUAUCGCCCA